rnacentral:rRNA from 1 species
CAUGCAAGUCGAGGGGCAGCAUGGUCUUAGCUUGCUAAGGCCGAUGGCGACCGGCGCACGGGUGAGUAACACGUAUCCAACCUGCCGUCUACUCUUGGACAGCCUUCUGAAAGGAAGAUUAAUACAAGAUGGCAUCAUGAGUCCGCAUGUUCACAUGAUUAAAGGUAUUCCGGUAGACGAUGGGGAUGCGUUCCAUUAGAUAGUAGGCGGGGUAACGGCCCACCUAGUCUUCGAUGGAUAGGGGUUCUGAGAGGAAGGUCCCCCACAUUGGAACUGAGACACGGUCCAAACUCCUACGGGAGGCAGCAGUGAGGAAUAUUGGUCAAUGGGCGAGAGCCUGAACCAGCCAAGUAGCGUGAAGGAUGACUGCCCUAUGGGUUGUAAACUUCUUUUAUAAAGGAAUAAAGUCGGGUAUGGAUACCCGUUUGCAUGUACUUUAUGAAUAAGGAUCGGCUAACUCCGUGCCAGCAGCCGCGGUAAUACGGAGGAUCCGAGCGUUAUCCGGAUUUAUUGGGUUUAAAGGGAGCGUAGAUGGAUGUUUAAGUCAGUUGUGAAAGUUUGCGGCUCAACCGUAAAAUUGCAGUUGAUACUGGAUAUCUUGAGUGCAGUUGAGGCAGGCGGAAUUCGUGGUGUAGCGGUGAAAUGCUUAGAUAUCACGAAGAACUCCGAUUGCGAAG